rfam:Erinaceus europaeus unplaced genomic scaffold scaffold01119, whole genome shotgun sequence
UGCAUACAAUGAUGAUGGCAUAGUUCAGCAGACAAAUGGUGAUUAGUACACAUGUCUUUUGCUCCUAUCUAAUGUAUCUG